UACGAAGGACCCGAGCGUUAUCCGGAUUCAUUGGGUUUAAAGGGUGCGUAGGCGGAACGGUAAGUCAGUGGUGAAAGCCUGCGGCUCAACUGCAGAACUGCCAUUGAUACUGCCGAUCUUGAGUACAUUUGAUGUGGGCGGAAUGUGCCAUGUAGUGGUGAAAUACUUAGAUAUGGCACAGAACACCGAUUGCGAAGGCAGCUCACAAAACUGUAACUGACGCUGAGGCACGAAAGCGUGGGGAUCAAACAGG
rnacentral:rRNA from 1 species